rnacentral:rRNA from 1 species
AUUGAACGCUGGCGGCAGGCCUAACACAUGCAAGUCGAACGGUAGCACAGAGAGCUUGCUCUCGGGUGACGAGUGGCGGACGGGUGAGUAAUGUCUGGGAAACUGCCCGAUGGAGGGGGAUAACUACUGGAAACGGUAGCUAAUACCGCGUAACGUCGCAAGACCAAAGUGGGGGACCUUCGGGCCUCACACCAUCGGAUGUGCCCAGAUGGGAUUAGCUAGUAGGUGGGGUAAUGGCUCACCUAGGCGACGAUCCCUAGCUGGUCUGAGAGGAUGACCGGCCACGCUGGAACUGAGACACGGUCCAGACUCCUACGGGGGGCAGCAGUGGGGAAUAUUGCACCAUGGGCGCAAGCCUGAUGCAGCAUUGCCGCGUGUAUGAAGAAGGCCUUCGGGUUGUAAAGUACUUUCAGCGGGGAGGAAGGCGGUGAAGUUAAUAACUUCACCGAUUGACGUUACCCGCAGAAGAAGCACCGGCUAACUCCGUGCCAGCAGCCGCCGUAA